GGUAGACUCAUUAGCCUACUGCGUGCUUCGUGUGUAGGCUACAUGUUCAGUGUAAAUGAUGGGCGCUUAAAACUAGUUCGCUAAUCGGCAGAAUAGUGAUAGUUAGUAGCAACAUGCUAGGAUAGAAGUUGAGGCUGUUUUAGCUGACUGGUGACUAUUGAGCUGUGACAUUUUUCUGUGUUGCAGCCGAGGUAGCAAGGCUCUUUGCGCCGUAUAACGGUGGAGCCAGAAGGAAAAUGACGAGAAGACGGGCACAAGUCCAAGUUAGUCAAAGAAGCUACACACAUACUGUCUGUUGUUUGGCUGACCACAACGCGGAUAAAGUUCCAAGCGUGCUGCUUAAAGCAGACCUCCUUACUUCAGGACUUGGAGAGCAAAAAGUGACAUUUUCAGGGAAUGACAACGAUCCCAUGAUUAUAACAAAUAAACUGAUGGAAGUGUUUCCCAAGCUCAAAGAAGGGGGAGGCUUUGAAUUCCUAAAAAUUGUAGGACCUACUCGUAGCCGAAAUCUUGUGUUGCUUCCAUGUCCCAGCACUGGAUACACCCUUGCCUAUCUGAAAGAUCCAGCGACGAUGAUUGGACAGGCUACACUCUACAUACGUCCACUUCAACAGGAUCUACCCAUAGAUUGUGAGAGCUCACAAACUGCCUCUGGUCCAGUCAUCCCCUGUAUCACUUGUCAGAAGGAAGUUCCCUUUUCAGAGAUGAAGCUGCACAGAUUGAGC